UACUUAUAAUUAAAUAAUUUUGGAAUAGUAAUAAAUAUGAAAUUUAACGGAUUUGGCGGCAAGAUAGCCAUUUAGAGGAACCUGCCCUGUAAACGAUGAACCACGAAUUUCUUUACUUUUAUUAGAAUUCAGUUUGUAUACCGCUGUUGUCAGUUAGUUUCUUUAGAAAACUUUCAUUCAUGAAAAAAUCACAGACUUCAAGUAAAGGUGCAGCUUAUAUAAAAGAUAGAGGUGGGUUACAUUUAUUAGAUUAAAACGGAUAAGAUAUUGAAAUUAUCUUUGAAGGUGGAUUUAAUUGUAAAGUUUAAUGAAACUUGAUGAGAGCUCUGUCUUGUGUACAC
rnacentral:rRNA from 1 species